rnacentral:rRNA from 1 species
CCUACGGGUGGCAGCAGUAGGGAAUCUUCCGCAAUGGACGAAAGUCUGACGGAGCAACGCCGCGUGUGUGAAGAAGGCCUUCGGGUUGUAAAGCACUUUCAGCGGGGAGGAAGGCGUUAAGGUUAAUAACCUUGGCGAUUGACGUUACCCGCAGAAGAAGCACCGGCUAACUCCGUGCCAGCAGCCGCGGUAAUACGGAGGGUGCAAGCGUUAAUCGGAAUUACUGGGCGUAAAGCGCACGCAGGCGGUCUGUCAAGUCGGAUGUGAAAUCCCCGGGCUCAACCUGGGAACUGCAUUCGAAACUGGCAGGCUAGAGUCUUGUAGAGGGGGGUAGAAGUCCAGGUGUAGCGGUGAAAUGCGUAGAGAUCUGGAGGAAUACCGGUGGCGAAGGCGGCCCCCUGGACAAAGACUGACGCUCAGGUGCGAAAGCGUGGGGAGCAAACAGGAUUAAUACCCGGGUAGUC